UACGUAGGGUGCGAGCGUUAAUCGGAAUUACUGGGCGUAAAGCGUGCGCAGGCGGCGGCUCAAGUCAGGUGUGAAAUCCCCGGGCUUAACCUGGGAAUUGCGCUUGAAACUAGGUCGCUAGAGUGUGGCAGAGGGGGUGGAAUUCCACGUGUAGCAGUGAAAUGCGUAGAGAUGUGGAGGAACACCGAUGGCGAAGGCAGCCCCCUGGGUCAACACUGACGCUCAUGCACGAAAGCGUGGGGAGCAAACAGG
rnacentral:rRNA from 1 species